AACGACUCCAUUUUGGCGAUGGUCAAUCAUGGUCGUUCAUUUUCCUCCAUCAAACAACCAGGAACUAGGCUUUAAUUCCCUUAAAAGUGUCUGAAACACCCCUAACCCCAAAGACCCCCCUUACUCCGUCUCUUUCACCUCUCUUUUACCCCUCUAAACCAUCGCCGCUGGCCACCGCCGAAAAUCGCUCACGGCGGCGGACGCCACUCCAAACAGCCCCAUUUUGUCUCGGUUUUCGGCGGCCGCCGCCACUCCAAACAACCCCAUUUUCUCACCAGACAACCACCACACUCCUCUUAUCUCAUAUUUCCUUUCAAUUCCAUCAGAAACCCCACCAAAAUUAGUGAAUUUUAGAUGUAAAUUUCCAGAAAAAUCCUAGUUUGACCUUUGUCAAAUUACUUGGGGUAUUUUGUUCGUUUUGGGUCGAGACUCACUUUAAUCAAUCAUUUGCGUUAGUUUUGACCAAUUUCGAAGUCACCGGACUCCGGCCAACUCACCACUGACUGGCCGAGCUUCAUCGAAAAAGGGUUUCAUGGCUUUGUCUCUCUUUCAAUAGGUCCAUCACCACUACUUCUGUACACACAUAAGGGUGCGACUGUGACUCAUGGGUUUAAUUUGAAAUCAAAGGCGUGUAGUGAUGAUGAGUUUAGCAUUCAAGGUUCAUUUGUUGUAAUAUUGUUCAAGAAAAUAAAAAAUAAAAAAUAGAAGGUGCUUGGGUUCAUAGACUUGUCUGUUAAUAUGAGUGAAGAUUUGAAAUAAUUUUCUUUGUUCUUUUCAGUAACGUAGUGUUUUAGUUCGAAGUAUUCAUGUAUUAGUGUUUAAGAAAGUCUGUAAUUAAUGUUUUAUUUCUGACAUUUUCAAAUUAUGUUGAGAAGCCAUGUUGAUUAACUGGUCUGGACAUUUGGUCCAAAUGGGGCUACUUAGCUAAUUUAAAAGGAAAUUUUACAUCCUAUAGCAAAGGUUGAUACCUUAUUUAUUAUAAAUAAAUACCCUUUUAAAAAAAUUAUCUCCUAUAGCUACCUAUUAAUUUUUAUAGCAAAAUUUCUAUUUAUGGCCAAUUCCUACCUUUAAGCCAUUAAAUACGCUGUAUAUUAUUUUUCUCUCUCCCUCUCCCUAGACUCUCUCCUCCUUUCUCUUUCUUCUCUUUUUCCCCAGGUUUUUCCUCCCCUGCUUUUAGAAACCCUAGCAGGGAUUGUGUUCCGCCAACGACAGAUUCGACCGGCGACCACUUCCCUCUUCCUUUUUGUGUCGCCCCAACCCCCUCCUCCGGUACAAACUCUCAGUAGACAACUUGAUUUCACUCUCCGAACAACAACUGUUAGAUUGCACCACCGAAAACAACGGCUGCGACGACAGUUUAAUGACCACAACCUACAAUUUCAUCUUAAAAAAUGACGGCAUUGCCACAUAAUCCAACUACCUUACGAGGAAUAUCAAGAUUCACACAAAAGCCAAGAGAGAAUGAACUCAGAAGUAGUGAAAAUUAGUAGCUACUUUGCCUUGAAAAGUUUGUUACCUUUUUUUUCAUUGUAUUUCAAUGUAUCUCACUGUAUUCCAUGUAUUUCAUUUGUAUUCACUGUCUUUUUUUCA